UACGAGGGGUCCUAGCGUUGUUCGGAAUCAUUGGGCGUAAAGGGAGCGUAGGUGGCUAUUCAAGUCAGUUGUGAAAUCCCCGGGCUUAACCCGGGAAGUGCUUCUGAUACUGUUUAGCUUGAGUACUGGAGAGGAUAGUAGAAUUCCUGGUGUAGUGGUGAAAUACGUAGAUAUCAGGAGGAAUACCGGUGGCGAAGGCGGCUAUCUGGCCAUGUACUGACACUGAAGCUCGAAAGCGUGGGGAGCAAACAGG
rnacentral:rRNA from 1 species